rnacentral:rRNA from 1 species
GACGAACGCUGGCGGCGUGCUUAACACAUGCAAGUCGAACGGAAAGGCCCUGCUUUUGUGGGGUGCUCGAGUGGCGAACGGGUGAGUAACACGUGAGUAACCUGCCCUUGACUUUGGGAUAACUUCAGGAAACUGGGGCUAAUACCGGAUAGGAGCUCCUGCUGCAUGGUGGGGGUUGGAAAGUUUCGGCGGUUGGGGAUGGACUCGCGGCUUAUCAGCUUGUUGGUGGGGUAGUGGCUUACCAAGGCUUUGACGGGUAGCCGGCCUGAGAGGGUGGCCGGCGACCUGGGGACUGAGAUACGGCGCAGACUCCUACGGGAGGCAGCAGUGGGGAAUCUUGCACAAUGGGCGGAAGCCUGAUACAGCAACGCCGCGUGCGGGAUGACGGCCUUCGGGUUGUAAACCGCUUUCGCCUGUGACGAAGCGUGAGUGACGGUAAUGGGUAAAGAAGCACCGGCUAACUACGUG